CUUGCGUUAACAGGUGGGCGGAUCAAGGCCUGAGGGCCCUCGCUGGGAAGAUUUAAAAGGACUCAGUGCCAGUGUCUGGGACCAAUGUUCGGUGAAUCUUUGCUUCUUUGACUCACAGUUUUACAGAACCACUGAAGCCAGGCAAUUUGUGUGGUGGGAGACCCUUGUGUGAGGCUGUGGAAAUGAAGACUGGGUGACAGAUGUUGGAGUUGCCAGAGCCUGGAGACAUCUGCUGAGGAGAGCUUGAUACAGGGCAUGGAUCCAGCCAAUGAGAGAGAAGCGUGUUGCAGACAACAAAGCUGGAGGUUUAAGAACCCUUAAAUCUAAAGCCCCAGACACCGACUGAAUGUGAAGGUCCAACCCAAAAGUCACAGUCAUCAAUGAGCGAAUGAGAAUUUCUCUCCUCACAUGGUUUAAUUCAGCCACUUCCUAGGACUUUGACUGCACACCAGGUCAGUGAACUCACACUAGCAAGGAUGAAGAAGAAAAAAGAAAAAAAAAAAAACAACCUGUGGUGAAUUUAGAUGAAUGAACGGCCAACACAAGCUGGUACAUGCCUGCAAUCCCAACAUUGGAGAGACGGGAAGAAUGUGAGUCUGAGGCCGUCUUAGAUACCUUAGGGAGAUCUUGUCUCAAAAAAAAAAAAAAAAGGAUGGACAAUUCAAGACAGUAAGAAACCUGGGCACAAACCAAACUGUUUCACAAUAGGUCGUGAGAUUGGAGUGCGUCUCGGCUUUUCUGAGAUUCUACACGUGUCCGUGGAAGUAUAAACAUGAGUAUGCAUGGGCUAGCAUAGCUGUGCUGUUGGAAAUGAGUGCAAAUGUGCAGAGGUCUAUGAUGUCAGCGGCUGACAGGUAUGUGAGCUGAAAAAAGUAAUAUAGGCAAUGAUAUUUUUAUCCUUUAUAGUUGUUACGUUAGCAAUGUAAACAUGUUAAGUUUUAUUAUGGCAUAUUUCAAACAAACAAAACUGUAUGCUUUUUUUUCUUUUCUUCUCCCCUUUCCCUGCCAUGGCUUUUCUCUCAAAUCAACCUGCUUUCAGGUCAGGUGCAUUCUUUUGGUAUUACCCCCCAGAAAUUAUGAGUCCCGUCUUGCUCUCUCCUCUCUAUUUCAGAGUCUAUAUCCCUAACAACCUCUUGUUUAUGUUUAUACAAACCUUAAAAGUUAGGAUCUGGCCAGGUAGUGUGGUGAUGUAUUCCUUUAAUCCCAGAACUCCUAGGCAGAGGCAUGCCUAUCUCCUUGAGUUUGGGGCCAGACUAAUACACACAUCAAGCUCUAGGACAACCAGAGAGAGCUGCACAGUAAGACCUUGUCUCAAGAAAAGAAUUUUAAAAGGGAUCUGAGUAUAAGGGAGAAAGUGUUUUUUUUUUUUUUAAAAAAAAAAUCUGUCUGUGUUAGCAUCACCUCCAUCCAAUUUUUCACCAGCUCAGAUCCAUCCACUUUCCUGGAAAUUUUACAAUUUUAUAAUUUUAGAGUCAAAUUUCAUAGCGUACACAUACCUCAAAUUUUCCAUUCAUUAGUUAAUACCCAUCUAGGCUGGCGUCAUGCCAAAAAUACAGCAAUAAACAUGGGUGUUCAUAUGCCUCUGUGGUAAGAGUGGAGCUGGUCCUAUGAUAGAUCUGGUUUUACAUUUUUGAGAAAUCACCAUACUUCCUAUAUUACCUAAUUUCCUCUCUCAGCAGUAGUGAACAAAAGUUCCUCUUUCCCCCAAACCUUCCUAGUAUUGGCUGGUACUUCCUUUCUUGCUGAUAGCCAUUCUCAUUGGAGUAACAUGGCAUCUCAAAGCAGCUCUAAUUUACAUUUCCUUGUGACUCAGGGUGUUGAACAUUUUAUGCAUGUAUGAACAUCUCAAGCCAUUAAAAUCAUUAUCUGACUCAGGGCCCAGGAGUCCCUGAGGUUGAACCAACCUGAAGGCCUGCUUCAUGAGGACUAACUUCCGUGGUAUCAGUAGGUUUUAUACCAGGAGAGAAGCAACAGAUAGCCCUGUGCAGCCAUGACACCUAGGAGCCACAGUGAGGACCAGCAUGGCACUGUAACCCUAAGAGUGCAGUAAUGACAUCUAUACCUUAGCCGUAAACAACAGCUUUCUUUUUGGACUUAAGACCCAAUCAGCAAGAGAGAAACUAUGCCUGGACCUGGAAAUGUAGGCUCCUGCCAGGGCUAGUGUAGUCAGGGAUCGUUGAGGAAAAUCUACAACUACUACUUUAGUAGAAUGCAUAACUGCAUUUUAAAUAUUUGUUCUUUUGCCCACAAAUAAGUAUAGUCCUCAUCUUCCAUCAAGGAAACUUCACUUUGCAACAGAUGGGGACCAUUACGAGAAAAUGGCAAGCAAUCUAAAUGAAGGCUUGAGGAGCCCAAACGCAAUGGACACUUCUUCAAAACAACGACCACACAUAAGGCUCAGGGAACAUUGUAGAUGAGGGGGUGGAAAGAUUGUAUGAGCCAGAGGAAGGAGUUUGUUGUAAGGCUGAAUUGCCUGGUAAUCUCAGACACUACAUCUAUAAACGCUCGCUAUGAUUGCCUAAACAUACUGGAACAAAGAUGCCACCAGUGGAAAUGCCUAAGUGCCAAGAAAACUGGCCUCAACUCUGCAUAAAGACUAAGACAAAAGUGGACUCUAAAGCCAACCAAGAAUGGCUGAAAGUGAGAGAACUAGUCUCUAGGGAGCUGCACAAUACUCAGGUGUUGCCUCAGCUGCUCUUCAGUGCACACCAGAACCCUCAAGAAGUAGACUCAAAUGCCAGCAAAGGAACACAUUUACUAGUGAAAGUGAGGGCAAACAGGCAAAGGGAUAGAACAAACUUUCUUUUUCUGAGUCCUUGAUAUAGGCUGCUAGCAGAAAGUGUGGUCCAGAUUAAAGUUUUAUCUUCCCACCUCUAAAGAUCUAGAUUACGAGUUUACCUUCCCACCGAAAGAUCUGGAUUAUAAGUGGGUCUUCCCACUUCAAAUGAUUUCAUUAACAACAGCAACAACAACAACAAAAUCCCUUGUAGAUGUUGCCAGCCAAUAGAUUUUAGUUAAUUCCAGAUGUAGUCAAACUGACAACCAAGAAUAGCCAUCACCACAGUUAUCCAAUACUGAAUUGUCAACCCUGUAAACAUGAAUAAAUAUGUAUAAACAUAUAUGUAUGUAACAAUAAUUAAUGAAAAAAGAGCAUAUGAAUUUAAAAAAGAGCAAAGAAGAAAGUAGAAAAGUUUGGAGGUGGAAAGGGAAAGAAGAAAUGAUGUAACUAUAUUAUAUUCUCAGCAAUACAAGACAAAAAUUUAAAAAGGUCUUAGAAAAAAGACUUUUAGUGAUUCCAUAUGUAAAGAAUGUGAGAUCCCCAUUCAUAAUUUUAUAUAAAUUACAUGUCAAAUGAUAGUUAAGGCAUAACUAAGUAUGCAUUCUAGAAUAAUGCAUUUAAUAAAACCUUUUAAAGUUUUUACACAAUUGGUCGCUUGUGUGUCUCCUUGUAAGAGGUGUCUGCUUUACUAGGUCACUGUUGAGCAGCAGAUCUGCCUUUUGGUACUAAUUAUUUUAAUUCUUUGUACGUUCUCAAUGUCAGUCACUGUAUGAGGAAUGGCUGAUACAGUCUUAGUUACUGUUUUAUUGCUGUGAAGAGACACCAUGACCAAUGUAGCUUAUAGAUAAAAGCAUUAGUUGGGAGUUUGUUUACAGUUUCACUUCAUCUUGGCAGGAAGCAUCCCGGC